UAAAACUAGAGGAGGUCAGUAACUUUUGCACUUGCUUAAUGAGGAAAAUGAAUAUUACAGAUACGCCCCUGAUCGGAAAACUGCUCAUUACCAUGAACAUGCGAUGUAUGAUCUGGGAGGUAACAUGGGCGGGACGGAAGUUUGUGCACCUCAGCGCUAUGAUUGGAAGGGGCCAGAAGGGGAGGGG